GAUAAACGCUGGCGGCGUGCUUAACACAUGCAAGUCGAACGAAGUUUUUCCUUCGGGAGAAACUUAGUGGCGGACGGGUGAGUAACGCGUGGGUAACCUGCCCUGUACAGGGGGACAACAGCUGGAAACGGCUGCUAAUACCGCAUAAGCCCUUAGCACUGCAUGGUGCAUAGGGAAGAGGAGCAAUCCGGUACAGGAUGGACCCGCGUCUGAUUAGCCAGUUGGCAGGGUAACGGCCUACCAAAGCGACGAUCAGUAGCCGAUCUGAGAGGAUGUACGGCCACAGUGGGACUGAGACACGGCCCAGACUCCUACGGGAGGCAGCAGUGGGGAAUAUUGCACAAUGGAGGAAACUCUGAUGCAGCGACGCCGCGUGAGUGAAGAAGUAUUUCGGUAUGUAAAGCUCUAUCAGCAGGGAAGAAAAUGACGGUACCUGACUAAGAAGCACCGGCUAAAUACGUG
rnacentral:rRNA from 1 species